rnacentral:rRNA from 1 species
UACAGAGGUCCCGAGCGUUGUUCGGAUUUACUGGGCGUAAAGGGUGCGUAGGUGGUUGGGCAAGUCUGAUGUGAAAGCCCCGGGCUCAACCCGGGAACGGCAUUAGAAACUGCCUGGCUGGAGGUUUGGAGGGGGGACUGGAAUUCCCGGUGUAGCAGUGAAAUGCGUAGAUAUCGGGAGGAACGCCAGUGGCGAAGGCGAGUCCCUGGACAACACCUGACACUGAGGCACGAAAGCCAGGGGAGCAAACAGG